rnacentral:lncRNA from 1 species
CACGUACUUUUGACAGCUCCAAUUGUUAAAACAGUUUCGUUUUCCCUCUGAGAAGCUGAGAGGCACAUCUUCCCCUACCACCCACCUCUGUGUAUAGCAGGACCGUGAUAGCUGCUACCACGGUGUGUUGGUCUGUGUGGGAUGGCAUAGCAAAUAUCAUGGACUGGAAGGUCUAAACAACAGAAGUGCAUGAUCACACAGUCAAAGUUCUGGAGGCUGGAAAUUCAAGACCAAGUUAUCAGCAGGGCUCUAAAAUGAGUGGGAGAUGUGAAGGAUUUCCUGGAAGAGGUGGGAAGACUGCUGUCAAACAGAUACCCUGGCAGAAGGAUCUGAGGCCUGAGACCCAAGCUGCCCCGCCUGCCCAGAACUCGGAUGGGGUCUGCCCUUACUUCCCACUCGCCCCUGCCAGACUUCCCCUAAAUCCUCUCCUGGACCCCACAAUCUUGCUCCUUCCCCUGGUGUGACUUCAGCUCCUGGAGGACAAGAAACACAUCUGUGGCCAGUUCACGGUGGCCCACACCUUUAAACCUCAACACUUUGGGAGGCCAAGGAGGGUGAAUCACUUGAUACCAGGAGUUCAAGGUUGUAGUGAGCUAUGAUCGCGCCACUGCACUCCAGCCUAGGUGACAGAGUGAGACCCUGUCUCUAAAAAAGAAAAGAUAUGCAUCUGCUGGGGUCAUCACUCUCCCCAAAGCAAGGCUGGGCACACAGGUGAUUCGUAUAUGCUGGCUGGAAGGGAGGGAAGCAGAGCCACCUGGGAUUGAUCAUCUCCCAGUGAGAAUACACCCAGUCCCUGUUGUGUGUCCCCACGGCCACAAGGCGUCAGUAAAGACCUUGGCUUGGAGUUGUCUGGAGCCAGGAAAACAGACUGGACUUUGAGGGCAGGACACCUCACCUGAAGGUGCUUUAGUUAGGUUCAGCACAUCUGAAAGAGAGAGAGAGAAAUAGGGGUGGUAGAACUGAGCAGUUGACAGAAGGGGACUCCAGGACUUGUCUCAGAGAGUAAGGGGCUGUGUUCUCUGCCCUUCAUUCACUUAUUCUACAAUUGUUUGUUCAUUUCUAGUACAUGCCAAGCACUAUUUUAGGUGCCAAGGUCCUAGCAGCUCACUCACAAAGUCCCUGCUCACAUAGAGUAGAUAGUAGAUUACUGUCUAGACAGAAAACAAACAAAAAAAACACGAUAAUUUCAUGGGGUGAUAAGUGCCGUGAAGAAAAUAAAAUGGAAAUGGAAUAGUGACUGUGUUGCAGGGGGCGUCUUUCAGAGAGAUGGUCAGGGAAGCUCAAGGGGAAUCCAAAGCCUUCAUAAAAAGUCAGAGCUGCCAAGGCUCCCAAGGGAC